GCGGGAAUAGCUCAGUGGUAGAGCAUCACCUUGCCAAGGUGAGGGUCGCCGGUUCAAAUCCGGUUUCCCGCUCCA
rnacentral:tRNA from 1 species